AACGAACGCUGGCGGCAUGCCUAACACAUGCAAGUCGAACGAAGGCUUCGGCCUUAGUGGCGCACGGGUGCGUAACGCGUGGGAAUCUGCCCUUUGCUUCGGAAUAACAGUUAGAAAUGACUGCUAAUACCGGAUGAUGUCGCAAGACCAAAGAUUUAUCGGCAAAGGAUGAGCCCGCGUAGGAUUAGCUAGUUGGUGGGGUAAAGGCCUACCAAGGCGACGAUCCUUAGCUGGUCUGAGAGGAUGAUCAGCCACACUGGGACUGAGACACGGCCCAGACUCCUACGGGAGGCAGCAGUGGGGAAUAUUGGACAAUGGGCGAAAGCCUGAUCCAGCAAUGCCGCGUGAGUGAUGAAGGCCUUAGGGUUGUAAAGCUCUUUUACCCGGGAUGAUAAUGACAGUACCGGGAGAAUAAGCUCCGGCUAACUCCGU
rnacentral:rRNA from 1 species